ACGCCUAGCUUAUAUACGAUGCUCUAAUUAAUAGGUACAGCUCAAUCGGAAAUUAUUGUUUUAUAAAUUACUAGCUUUCCGCCAGCGGCUUCGUCUGCGUAGUCAAGGAAAAACCCCCAUAGUUCCCGUUCCCGUCGGAUUUCCGGGAUAAAACCUAUCCUUUGCUUUCCUCAAGUCUUAUCUCUCUACCAAAUGUGGAAUAAAUCCGUGCAGUGCUUUUUGCGUUUAGCCCGGACAUGCAUACAGACAAAAAUUCUAAAAACUAUAUUUUUGGCUCCGGUAGGCUAAGAAUAACUAAACGGCGUUCAAAUAAAUAUUCAAUGUUGUGACCGAUUUCUCGCAGACGGCAAACUGCGCGACUUCUGACCAUGUUUUUCGCGCCAAUCCGCUUCCAAUUUUGCAUAUACGCCACCUAUAAAGUAAUUAUUUUAAUUAUAAAAUUAUAUAAAAUUCACGUUACUUAGUUUGGGACCCACUGUCGUACAUUUAUUGUAAAACAUAAAAUGGACAAAUAAAUUUAUUUCAUUUCA